UGACUGAUUUUAUUUUGGGGUUCAGUGAAGGAGAAAAGAUAUCUCAUUGGGCCUUCUGAAUGACCUCUUUUAAUUCUGAACACUCUUAUUGUGAAUUUUCAGGUCGGAGGUUGAAAAAAUCCCAAUUUAGUCUUAUUUCUUAAAAUUCAUCAUGCAAUCUCCAAUGAAUAAGAAUAAAGAAUGAAAUGUACAUAAAUAUACACAAAACAAUGAUUGUCCAAAAAAUUUAUUGCUGAAAAAGUUUGAAACAAAAUUUCUCAUUCAAUUACGAUACAAAUGAGAAGAGAGAAAAUUGUAAAGAGCUCCACAUAUACACUUUUUGUCUCCUUUUUCAAAUAUACAAAAUUUUCCUUUGGAAAACAAUUACAACAUUUCUCAGAGGGUUUUCAUCGUAGGACCCGCCCAAGAAUCAAAUAACACUUGUAAUCUUCAAACUUCAUUGGAUUAAAAUUAUCAUCAGAUAUAGAAGAAUAUUUCCGUCUUAUUGAAAUAUUUUUAUGAAUGCAAGGGAGGGGGGAAACAAAAGAAAAAUACCCCGAGUUAGUAGACAAAACUGCAAAAUCGGUAUGCAUGUCCUAUGGGGGGAACCCUUUUUAUGCC
rnacentral:lncRNA from 1 species